GCCCGGGUGUGGUGGUGCACAUCUGUAGUCCCAGCUACUUGGGAGGCUGAGGCAAGAGGAUCGCUUGAGCCCAGGAGGUCAAGGCUGCAUGAGCUAUGGUCGAGGCUGCAUGGGCUAUGGUCAAGGCCGCGCUCCAGCUUGGGCAACAGAGUGAGACCUUGUCUCUU
rfam:Pan troglodytes isolate Yerkes chimp pedigree #C0471 (Clint) chromosome 1, whole genome shotgun sequence.